rnacentral:rRNA from 1 species
CAUGCAAGUCGAGGGGCAGCAUGAAGUUUGCUUGCAAACUUUGAUGGCGACCGGCGGAUGGGUGAGUAACGCGUAUCCAACCUGGCCCCUUCCCGGGCACAGCCCUUGGAAACGAGGAUUAACUCCCGAUGGCGUCGCCUUAACGCAUGUUUCGGCGACCAAAUGUUUAAGGAAGGGGAUGGGCAUGCGGGACAUUAGGUAGUUGGGGGUGUAACGGACCACCAAGCCGACGAUGUCUAGGGGUUCUGAGAGGAAGGUCCCCCACACUGGUACUGAGACACGGACCAGACUCCUACGGGAGGCAGCAGUGAGGAAUAUUGGGUCAAUGGAGGCAACUCUGAACCGGCCAAGUAGCGUGCAGGACGACGGCCCUAUGGGUUGUAAACUGCUUUUAUGCGGGGAUAAAUGAGCCUACGUGUAGGUUUUUGCAGGUACCGCAUGAAUAAGGACCGGCUAAUUCCGUG